rnacentral:rRNA from 1 species
GGAUUAGAUACCCUGGUAGUCCACGCCCUAAACGAUGAAUACUCGCUGUUAGCGAUACACAGUUAGCGGCUAAGCGAAAGCGUUAAGUAUUCCACCUGGGGAGUACGCCCGCAAGGGUGAAACUCAAAGGAAUUGACGGGGGCCCGCACAAGCGGAGGAGCAUGUGGUUUAAUUCGAUGAUACGCGAGGAACCUUACCCGGGCUUGAAAGUUAGUGAAUGAUUUAGAGAUAGAUCAGUGAGCAAUCACACGAAACUAGGUGCUGCAUGGCUGUCGUCAGCUCGUGCC